rnacentral:rRNA from 1 species
UACGGAGGGUGCGAGCGUUAUCCGGAGUCACUGGGUUUAAAGGGUGCGUAGGUGGCUUAAUAAGUCAGCUGUGAAAUGUCUGGGCUUAACCGAGGCAUUGCGGUUGAUACUGUUAGGCUUGAAUCAAGUCGAGGUGGCUAGAAUGUGACAUGUAGCGGUGAAAUGCAUAGAUAUGUCAUAGAAUACCAAUUGCGAAGGCAGGUUGCUAGACUUUGAUUGACACUGAGGCACGAAAGCGUGGGGAUCAAACAGG